CGUCCCGCCGCGCGCGGCGGGCCUACGGGAGGCAGCAGUGAGGAAUAUUGGUCAAUGGGCGGAAGCCUGAACCAGCCAAGUAGCGUGCAGGAUGACGGCCCUAUGGGUUGUAAACUGCUUUUAUACAGGAAUAAAGUUAGCCACGUGUGGUUAUUUGUAGGUACUGUAUGAAUAAGGACCGGCUAAUUCCGUGCCAGCAGCCGCGGUAAUA
rnacentral:rRNA from 1 species